UCGUUCUUCUUCCUUGCGGGAUUUCAGGCAAGAUGAUCAUACCCUCGAAAUCACUACUAUCUUUGCUUUGCUAGAUGCUCGCUCUUUUGCUAUGCCAAUGCUACGAUGCCUACCAUUUGCUUUCAAGCCUCCCAAAUUGCCAUGUCAAACCUCUAAGCCACCAUGUCCUAGCAAACCGGUGAUUGGCUAUGUUACCGCUUUGCUCAGCCCCUCUUAUAGCGUUGUUAGUUGCAGGUGAAGAUUGAAGUUUGUUCCUUGUUGGAACAUGGAGAUGUCGUUCCUUGUUGGGACAUGUUUACUUGUUGGGAUAUCACUAUAUAUCUUAUUUAAUUAAGGCAUCUAUAUACUUGGUAAAGGGUGGAAGGCUUGGCCUUAUGCCUGGUGUUUUGUUCCACUCUUGCUGCCAUAGUUUCCGUCAUAUCGGUGUUAUGUUCCCGGAUUUUUGCGUCCCUUAUGCGGUUGGGCUAUAAUGGGAACCCCUUGACAGUUCGCCUUAAGUAAAGCUCUUCCAGCAAUGCCCAACAUUGGUUUUACCAUUCGCCACCUAGCCUUUUCUUUCCCUUGGGUUCUGCAGACUCAAGGGUCAUCUUUAUUUUAACCCCCCCCCCGGGCCAGUGCUCCUCUGAGUGUUGGUCCGACCGAGUAGACUGCGGGGCCACCUCGGGGCAACUUGAGGGUUGGUUUUACUCGUAGGAUGUCUCAUCUGAGUGUGCCCUGAGAAAGAGAUAUGUGCAGCUCCUAUCGGGAUUUGUGGCACAUUCGGGCGGUGUUGCUGGUUUAGUUUUACCCUGUCGAAAUGUCUUGUUGUACCGGGAUACCGAGCCUGAUCGGAACGUCUCGGGUGGAGGUCUAUUCCUUCGUUGACCGUGAGAGCUUGUGAUGGGCUAAGUUGGGACUCCCCUGCAGGGAUUUGAACUUCCGAAAGCCGUGCCCGCGGUUAUGGGCAGAUGGGAUUUUGUUAACGUCCGGUUGUAGAAAACCUGAAGUCGACCUUAAUUAAAAUGAAUCAACCGCGUGUGUAACCGUGAUGGUCUCUUUCCGGCGGAGUCCGGGAAGUGAACACGGUUGUUGGAGUUAUGCUUGGCGUAGGUUGCUAUAGGAUCACUUCUUGAUCAUACUUUUAUCGACCGUGCUUUGCCUUCUCUUCUCGCUCUCAUUUGCGUAUGUUAGCCACCAUAUAUGCUAGUCGCUUGCUGCAGCUCCACCUCAUGCCUUUACCUUACCCAUAAGCUUAAAUAGUCUUGAUCGCGAGGGUGCGAGAUUGCUGAGUCCCCGUGGCUCACAGAUACUUCCAAAACCAGCUUGCAGGUGCCGAUGAGUCCGUGCAGAUGACGCAACCAAGCUCAGGAGGAGCUCGUUGAAGAUCUUGUCCUUUGUGUUGUUUCCGUUCUAGUUGAUCAAUAGUGGAGCCCAGUUGGGGUCGAUCGGGGACCUUUGUUGCAUUUGGGGUUCUUCUUUUAUUUUGGUUCCAUAGUCGGACCUUGUUUGUAUCUGGAUGAUGUAAUGCUUUAUUCAUGUAAUUGUGUGAAGUGGCGAUUGAAAGCCAACUAUGUAUCUUUUUCCCUUAUUAUAUUACAUGGGUGGUGUGAAGAUUACCUCACUUGCGACAUAUGCCUUCAAUGCGAUUAUGCCUCUAAGUCGUGCCUCGACACGUGGGAGAUAUAGUCGCAUCGAGGGUGUUACAAGUUGGUAAUCAGAGCCUUCCCCGACCUUAGGAGCCCCAUUGCUUGAUCGUUUUUAGCGGCCGAGUUGUGUCUAGAUAAAAUGUUUUGAGUCUUUAGGAAUUAUAUAUCGGAGAGUUUAGGAAUUCUUUUUACCUCCCAGUCUCCUCAUCGCUCUGGUAAGGCAUCCUGACGUAGAGUUUUGACUCUUCUCUUCUCAAAUUUCACUAAAUUUUUUUUAGGAUCACGCGGGUAUCUUGGAAUCGUUCUGAUGGUUUUAUGAUGAGAACAUUGUCUUGGUGCCUCCUGUUAGGGGUUUAGUGGAAGUGUCCCGGGGAGUUGAGCUCUGAGGUGUUGUCAUCAUAAUUUUAUCGUUGCAGUUCUGGAAUACCUGAGUCUAGUACGCCGACAUGGAAAAUCUCUUUUAUGCAGUUCGUUGGUGAGAUAACCUCGACGCCACCCAGUACUGGGGCGGGAGUUCGGGAGUAUCGCCAUAACUUGUAUAACGGAUGCUUUUCGAAGGUUGAGGUAGAUGAUUUUCGAAGGUUUCUUGGUUAUGUGUUGAAGGAUGGAUACAGCUGGAUGUAGGAUUUGUUAGUUUGGGUGAGAUAUUAUGCUUCCCCUGUAUCCCCAACACCUGAUUGCAUAACCGGAAAAUUUCGAGAGUUUCAUAGGUGGGAAAUCAAGUAGCUCUUAGGAUAUCUUUCCGACAGAUGUAUGAUAUGAAAUUGGGGUUCGACGUCUAGUGGUCCGCCUAUUCAUGGUUGGUUUUACAGUGGUCUCGUUGUGUCUUAAAGAGUCCUUGGCUAUGUCGAAUCGGGGACGCUUCGUAUGUCAUGUGCACUGCCUUGUACAUGAUGGUGCUGUACGAUCGAGCCCGUGUAGGCCCCACCACGAAAACUUCGGAUGAAAUCUCUAUCAUAUGUUUGUUCCGGCUUAUUCUGCAAGCCAAUCCUUUGUUUUGUUUUGAGUUGUGGUAUUCAAGUUGCUUCAAUGUCAAGGGUUGAUUCCAUACCUUCCCCAAAUGGUGUUCUCAUACUCCGAUUUGAAUACUAAUCAUUCUGGAUAAUCAAGAUUGUCUUGCCAAUCCUUUUCAACCGGUGUCUCUCUCUUCAAGUGGAUCCGAUCAUUUCAACAUCAGAAAGAUCAAUUAUCAUUUCUUCUCAACGGUGUUCAUUUCGUUCUCAACGGUGUUUUCCCCCCCUCCCACCCUCUUUCUUCGAGGAAUAAGAUUUCUUAAUCAAGUAUCCAUCUUAUUGAUGUGAAGUCUCUCCAUUCUUUUCCUUCAAUGUUCUUAUCCGGUGAUUCUCAUGAAGUUUCUAACGGAGCUUCAAGUUCGUCAUUCUUCUUUCUUUUCUUCUCCGGUGGAUUCAAGUCAAGAUUUGUCGAUUAUAUCCCCUUUUCUCAUUUCAAAUACCUUCUCUUGACGGUGCUCCUCAUAUUCAUUCAUUUCUCAUUAUUCAAUUGUUCCGGAAUGCUCAAGAUAUCUCGAAGAUUCGUGUUUCCACUAUGCAUUCGUUCAAGAUCUUUCGAGGAUGUUCUCUCAUUCAAGUCUUUUAUUUCAACCGGUGCAUUAUCUCUCUUCAAAUCGUUCAACGGUGUUUCUUUUGAGUGGGCCCUAACCCACAGGUCUUUUUCCAGGAUCUUACCUGACUCUUCUUAUUUUCCCAGCGUUACUCUCAAAUUCUUUUCCAAGUUUGACGUAAGAAUGAGUUAUCAUCAGUCAAAUGCCUUUCUCCUUGAUCUUUCAAAUUCUUUCAUCGUUGGUUCAACAUUUCCAAUUUUAAUCCCGGAGAUCUCAACAAUUUGGUGGUGUUUCUCAUCGUCAUUCCCUGCAUUUGAAGACCGAAGAACAUUUUUUUUCUCUCAAUCUUGCUCCUUUCUCUUCAAGAUUCGUGGUUCUAGCGUUAUGCCAUCCUCUCAUAGUUGUUUUCGAUUGUCAGAAUUCUUUUCACUCAUCCGGAGUAAUUCAGAGUAUUUUCUGUCAGAUUAUCUGGAGCCCAUCAUCUAAGAUUGAUUCAGUCCAGCUUUCAGCUCGCAUACUCUAAAUCAUACCGGUGCUUCGUUCAAGUGAUCUUUAAUCGGCUCAUGAUCUCGUCGUUCUCAUGUAUCUAAAUCCUCUCAAGCAUCUUCGUGUAUUUGCUAAUUCUAACCGGUGAUUCAUCCCUUUACUUCAUUUAUUUUAAUUCUUACGGUGGUUUGUUCAAGAGUUUUCUUCCUUCGUGUAUCAUAUCUAUGCAUUCGUGCUUUCUAAAUUCUACCGGUGGAUCGUUGAAGACUUUCUCAAGUUUGCGCAAUAUCUAUCUUAAUCCUUUCUACGAGAAUAAGUAGUAUGCCAAAUCCGUUGCUGGUCAUCAAUUUAAAAUGGUGAAGGAUAAGCAUAAUGUAAUUCUUAUUCUUGUUUCACCCAAGAUAUUAAUUCCUUAUUCCGGAGGCUCAUCAAAUUCUUGUUUCCAUUUGUUCAUCUUUCUUUACCGGAGUGCCAAGUUUUCUCUUUAUCUCGUUGCUAAGGUCCAUCUAAUCAUUGCAAGGUUUCACCUUGUGUUUUUCAACUUAUCUUUCCUUUCGUUUGAUCAUUCUUUUAUUACCGGAGUUCUUCAUGAAGGUUCUACAUGAUGGGUUCAUCAAGGACUUAAUCAGUUCUCGAAGCGUUCAUAAACUUUGUUUUCAGAGGAGCUCUAGCUUUCUUCCUUUUAUAAUCCGGAGUGCAAUUGUUCUUCCUUAUCUUUUGAGGUGGUGUUAUGUCAUUCUUGAUAAUUUGAGUUCAUGUUUUUCAUGAUUCACAUGUUGUCAAGUAUGAGAUAUUUUAAAUCCAUCCAUCUCGUCAUUGGGAUUUAUCUUGGGCCAUCCCUAAGGACUGUUGCUAUUUAUGGUGCUCAUAAAUGACCCAAGUUCUUCAUCUAUCCUCCCGGUGAAAUAAUUUCUCGUCUCCUUGUUAUUAUCAAUACAAUUCUUUUCCCGCGAGUGGCAGGUUGUCACCUCAUAAUUUGAGAUGUAUUCCGCAAGACCAUAUCAAGCUUAUCUUUUCGUUGUUGGUUUUCCAACAAUUCCGUUCUAGCAUGUGUUGUAAGCGUGCUCUCGUUUUUCCCUUCGUUCAUUCCAUUCUUACUUUUGUUCCGGAGGCAUUGUGUUGCUGCUCUCUUCAAACCCAUCUUCUUGUUUUGUCAGGAUCGUGUUCUUUUCUUGGCUUAUCCAUUUAACCGGAGUGUUGUGUCCCUUUUUCUCAAGUUCUCUCAUUUUAUCAAGUCUUGCGUCCCUUCUCAACCGGAGUGCUACCCGAAUCGGUUCCUUCUUUUCCUAUUUCUUAACGGAGUGUUGUGAACUUUGUUCUUCUCCGUUGUUUCAUUUCUUUCAAUUUGUUCAACCUCUCAAGGUCCGUGGUUUCACUCGUUUGUCAAAAGAAGCAACUUAGUUUUACCUUUUCUUUUUCUCUUCCGUUUUCCCUCCGGUGCCAUUCUAGAUCUCGGGACGAGAUCCUCUCGUAGUGGUGGAGUGUUGUAACGCCCCAAGACCGAUGUGCCAGGUGUCGUCCAGUUAUUCGUUGUUGUUGCCUUGUCAUUUUCUUGCAUGUUGCAUUUCAUCAUGUCAUCAUGUGCAUAGCAUCAUCAUGUUUUCAAAACUUGCAUCUGUCCCGGUCUCCUCGUCCUCUCCGUUGUUCAUUCUGAGCCCAACCACACCUGCACACGCCCGCGACAUGUCCAAAAUAUUAUUUUAUAAGUGGUCAGAAAAUGUUCUCAGAAUGGGUUGAAAGUUGGCAUGUGGUGCUGUUAUGUUAUAGGUAGGCCGCCUGCCAAGUUUCAUCGCAUUCGGAGUUCGUUUGAUAGCCCAACGGAUAACUAUAGUGACAUUAUAGUCCGUCUAACAUCGGACGUUUUCGGUCUCCGGAAAUAGAUGCCAGGCUCUCUCUCUCCCUCUCUUCUCCCCCUCGCAGUCUCACCAAGACCCACCUAGUCCAUCCUCCUUCCCCUCUUCACUUCCGGAGUUGUCCGAUGCGACCGCACGGUCCAAAACCCUCUCUGCACAGUGCAACGAACCCCCUCACGUGAGCGUCCGAAAGUUGUCCCGGACCCGACCAGAGGUGUCGCCACUGUUGUGUCCGGAUCAUCCCCAAACAUCUACAAAACGUCACCGUUUUCUUAUAUGGGCUCCCUAGCCUAUUUUUUUUCCGUCCGUCUGAUUAAGAUCGGAGGGACCAAAUUCCCCUAUCCAAAAAUCCACUUACUUCAUAUAGACCAAUCCCUAAUCCCUAGGGAUCCUCCUAGCCGCCGCCACCGCACUGUCUCUUCUCUGUUUUCCGUGUCCGACCAACCAUCGCGCUUCGUUCCUUGAUCCCCUCGCCGAACAAACUGCAAGCCGCGGCAGCAGCAGUCCCUGUCCACCUCGACUUCACACUCCCGGAGUCGUUCAACGCCAGCAGCUCCUCGCGUUCGCGCGCCGCAGAGCAUGAGCAGCAGUCCUGAGCGCCCCAUCCCCUCGUCAUGUACCUCGAUCCAGGAUGGAUCGGGAGCAGAGUUGCUUUUCGCUCGUCGCCGGCGGCCUCAACCACCUGGCCCCCGCCGCCUCUGCGACAGAGCUCGCUGGAGCAAGCACCACCAGGCAUCCCCGCACCCUACCUCUCUUCUCUCCGGCCUUCUCUCUCUUCCCCUUACACCUCUCUCUGUGACUUGCCGUAGCAGGGAGAUGCCGUCACUUGGAGCUUCCUCAACCUUGCCUCCCCAUCGCCGGCCGGCCUCGCCGUCGCUGGAAACGGGCCGGCCGUCCCCGGAUUCGGUUCCCCCAUCGCCCACCUGCCGGAUCCGCCCCGUCCCCGCCGUCCGCCGGUGUCCUACCCCGCUGGAGCCGCAGCGCCGCCCCUGCCUUGCUCAUUUUUUUUGAGGAAGGCCCUGCCUUGCUCGAUCCAGGCGAGAUCGAGGAGCGGGAUGAGCCCACCAGCGCGUGGGCCUCUAGGGCCCAUCCCCACCUGCCUGGGGCCCUCCUCCCACCGAACCGGGCCAAGGCCCACUAGGUGAAGCCACACCCGUAGCGCCCCACUUUUCCUUUCCUGCUGUUGGGCCAGUACCUAUUUCGGCCCGCGUAUGUUUUUUUCAGCGCCUGGGAAUUUGCUAAUUAAUCCAGUAAAACAGAUUUUCAGUUUAGACCCUCAUGUUCAUGCAUAUAAUAACUCACAAUUCAUGCAUCGGUUUAAAAUGAUUUAUAUAUGAAACUUGCUCAGAAUUUUGUCUAGUUUAAUAAUAUGUCAUUUUCAACCAUGUUUAAAAUGUUUAAAAUGUUGUUUGAUUAAAUUUGCUCCUAUGCCAUGUUAAAAUGAUUUAAUUCACAACUAAAUAACCGUAACUCGGAAUUUAAUAAACUUUAUAUGUAAAUGGGGUAGAAAAAUGCCUAGUUUAACAUGGUGACCUUUAUUUGCAUGUUAAACAACGCUAAAAUUGUGUUUAGGGCAGAAUAGUACCAAACCUAAUAUAUGCAUAUGAGGCGUUUCCGGAAUUGUUGUUUGUUGUUUCCGGCCUCAUUUAAACUUGACUAGAUAGGUAGUUUUAUUUGCUUCACCCUCUUUCCAUGCUUAUCAACAUUUAAUAUUGUUGAGUACAUAACCGGGAGAGAACUAAAUAAUUGAUGUGGCGUUUCGUCGAUAUGCAACGGAGUUGCAUAUUGACCUCCACUUAAUUUGUAGGAUUGUUUGUGCACUUUGCCAUGUCAUGCUUCAUUAAACCGGACAUGCAUCAUUCUUGUUUGCGCAUCAUGCCAUGUCUAUGUGGUGGUUGUUUACUAUGUCGUUUGCUUCUUUCCGGUGUUGCUUCUUCAGGUUGGUUCCGAUAACGUCGCGUUUGUGAGGACCCGUUCGUCUACGUCCGUUUAUCUUCUUCAUGGACUCGUUCUUCUUCCUUGCGGGAUUUCAGGCAAGAUGAUCAUACCCUCGAAAUCACUACUAUCUUUGCUUUGCUAGAUGCUCGCUCUUUUGCUAUGCCAAUGCUACGAUGCCUACCAUUUGCUUUCAAGCCUCCCAAAUUGCCAUGUCAAACCUCUAAGCCACCAUGUCCUAGCAAACCGGUGAUUGGCUAUGUUACCGCUUUGCUCAGCCCCUCUUAUAGCGUUGUUAGUUGCAGGUGAAGAUUGAAGUUUGUUCCUUGUUGGAACAUGGAGAUGUCGUUCCUUGUUGGGACAUGUUUACUUGUUGGGAUAUCACUAUAUAUCUUAUUUAAUUAAUGCAUCUAUAUACUUGGUAAAGGGUGGAAGGCUCGGCCUUAUGCCUGGUGUUUUGUUCCACUCUUG
rnacentral:lncRNA from 1 species